CAGUAGUCCCUUCCGAUCUAACGCAUCCUUUUGGCUGCUUACGUCUCCUUCAGCUUCCCGGAGCUCUGCACCAUUCCCAACAUAUGACUUCUCACAGCGUCCCACCUGUGUGCACCUUCCCCCUGCAAAAAAUAACCGCUCCUUCAUUCCGUAGUUGCUGUGAACCCUGCGGGCUGUAGGGCCACCUUAUGUAGUAACCAUUGGCGUCACUUCCUGCCAGGGUCGGGCUGUCCUAAGGGGUGGCAAGGGAAGCCAAGGAGCCGCAGAAGGUCUGGAUCCAGGCCGGCUUGAGUGUCAAGUCGGCUGUGAACUCGUCCUUUGCGUCACAGGAGCAACACUUCCACCCUCCAUCCUCCAGCGCUCCCAAGAGACUCAAGACACCACACACUCCAAAGGCAGCCGUCCAGUUAAGCAAAACAGCCCCAGGAAGCAGAUGCAGACCACAGAAAGAAAAGAACCGAGGCGCCCCCAGAGACAGCUGUGUGCUAAGGUCACAGCUCAAAAGUGGCUUUUUCAACGGGGCUGUUCCAAUCCAUCCUGCCAAGCCAGCCAUGCUUACUGUGCGUUACACGUGGUGAUCGUCCACCUCCUUCCACUAAAGUGUUGAUUGCAUGAGGCAGGAUGGGUUUCCUUCACUGCCAGCACUUCAGAUGAUGCCCGAGGCAAAACUGCUUCCAGCCAUCCAUGAACAAGUCUCCUGGUCCCUACAUUCAAGAUGUACACCAAAUCCGCCCUUGUAUCAGCCUCUCCCCCAACUUGGCUUCUACAUGAGCUUCCGGAAUGAGUCUCCAGAAUCCACAGUGGCUGUCCACAGCCCAGUCUACACAGCAACUAAUAAUCAUUUUAAAAAAUAAGAUAAAUCAGACGAAACGACUCGAAACCUCUGACCACUGUGUGAAG